UUAUCUGAAAUUUGUAUGGAGUUGGAACGUUUGCCUACGUUUGCCGCUAGGGGCGCUGUUCCAACUGCAUAUAAAUUUGAGUUA
rnacentral:pre_miRNA from 1 species